rnacentral:rRNA from 1 species
GGCUCAGAAUGAACGCUGGCGGCGUGCUUAACACAUGCAAGUCGUACGAGAACGCUAUAGCUUGCUAGAGCAAGUAAAGUGGCGCACGGGUGAGUAACGCGUGGGUAAUCUACCUUCGAAUUGGGGAUAACGUUGCGAAAGCGACGCUAAUACCGAAUAACAUCCAUAAAGCUUCGGUUUUUUGGAUCAAAGGUGGCCUCUACAUGUAAGCUACUGUUUGAAGAUGAGCCCGCGUACCAUUAGCUUGUUGGCAGGGUAAUGGCCUACCAAGGCAUCGAUGGUUAGCUGGUCUGAGAGGAUGAUCAGCCACACUGGAACUGACACACGGUCCAGACUCCUACGGGAGGCAGCAGUGAGGAAUUUUGCGCAAUGGGGGAAACCCUGACGCAGCAACGCCGCGUGAGUGAUGAAGGCUUUCGGGUCGUAAAGCUCUGUCAAGUGGGAAGAACCUGCAGUAUGUUAAUAUCAUAUUGCACUGACGGUACCACUGAAGGAAGCACCGGCUAACUCCGUGCCAGCAGCCGCGGUAAUACGGGGGGUGCAAGCGUUAUUCGGAAUCAUUGGGCGUAAAGAGCACGUAGGCGGCUUGGUAAGUCAGAUGUGAAAGCCCGGGGCUUAACCCCGGAAGUGCAUUUGAUACUGUCAAGCUUGAGUAUGGGAGAGGGAAGUGNAAUUCCUGGUGUAGAGGUGAAAUUCGUAGAUAUCAGGAGGAACACCGGUGGCGAAGGCGACUUCCUGGACCAAU